AAUAUCUCAAAUCCCCAGUGCUUUGGUGAUGGUGGAUUUGGACUUGGAGGUUGCUGGUAAUCAGCUCCUCUCAAAUGUAUUAGCUGGAACCUCAUGUGUAUCUCCGGUGUGAUAAUAUCUACUCCGUAUGAUCGCAAAGUAGGAUCUGCUUCUAAUCGUCCAGUCUCUGGACAAACCUGAC
rnacentral:misc_RNA from 1 species